CCUUGAGCCCAGAGAGGGCAGAAUAAUUAGUUUCUGUCUGAAAGUGACUGAAUAUUUACAAUGAUUUCUGAGUGCGGUGGGUGGAGUGUUCCAGCCUAGAGUGAAGAUGAUUUUUAUGCUGCAGCUCAUGUCCUUCAGUCUUGCCUUCGUGUCAACGUUUUUCUUGAUUGUGGCGACCUGGACUGAUUGCUGGAUGGUGAACGCUGAUGACAGCUUGGAGGUCAGCCAGAAAUGCAGGGGUUUGUGGUGGGAGUGUGUGACCAAUUCCAUGGAUGGGAUCAGGACGUGUGACCAAUAUGACUCCAUCUUAGCAGAACAUCCACGUAAGUAGCGAAGGAACAGCAGAAGUGGAAUAUUGAAGUAACUAUGGAUUGUGAUUGUGGGUACGGAUAACUCUGAUUGAGGGACCAAAUCGUAAUUGUUAUGCCCGAAAAAAACCAGAGAAGCAACCUAUACCCGAAAAAAUAAUUUCCAAAUACCUUGACUCCAUCCUAUCCCCCUAGCUUAAAUCCCUCCCUACCUAUGUUCAAGACACCUCAGACACUCUCUGUCGUCUCCGCGCAUUCCAUUCUCUAGGCCCUCACCCCCUCAUCUUCACCAUGGACGUCCAGUCACUCUACACCUCCAUCCCCCACCAGGAUGGCCUCAAAGCCCUCCAGUUCUUCCUCGACCAGAGAAGCAACUUAUACCCGGCCACUGACACUUACGCCCGGCCACUGGACUACACUUCUUCCCACCCUGCUUCCUGUAAGGACUCCAUCCCCUACUCCCAAUUCCUCCGUCUACGCUGCAUCUGCUCCACGGGUGAGGCGUUCCACACCAGGGCAUCUGAAAUGACCUUUCUUCAGGGAACGGUGGUUCCCCUCCUCCACCAUAGAUGAGGCUCGCACCAGUUUCUUCCAUACCCCGCAACACUGCUCUCUCUCCCCAUCCCCCCACUCGCAACAAGGGCAGAGUCCCUCUAGUCCUCACCUUUCACCCCACCAGCCAUCACAUACAACAAGUAAUCCUCCGUCAGUUUCGCCACCUCCAACGUGACCCCACCACUCACCACAUCUUCCCAUCUCCCCCCAUAUCUGCCUUCCGCAAAGACCGCUCCCUCCAUAACUCCCUUGUCAAUUCUUCCCUUCCCUCCCGUACCACCCCCUCCCUGGGCAC